rnacentral:rRNA from 1 species
ACUCCUACGGGAGGCAGCAGUGGGGAAUAUUGCACAAUGGGGAAACCCUGAUGCAGCCAUGCCGCGUGUGUGAAGAAGGCCUUCGGUUGUAAAGCACUUUCAGUAGGGAGGAAGGUAGUGUAGUUAACACCUGCACUAUUUGACGUUACCUACAGAAGAAGCACCGGCUAACUCCGUGCCAGCAGCCGCGGUAAUACGGAGGGGUGCGAGCGUUAAUCGGAAUUACUGGGCGUAAAGCGCAUGCAGGCGGCCUGUUAAGUCAGAUGUGAAAGCCCGGGGGCUUAACCUCGGAAUUGCAUUUGAAACUGGCAGGCUAGAGUCUUGUAGAGGGGGGUAGAAUUUCAGGUGUAGCGGUGAAAUGCGUAGAGAUCUGAAGGAAUACCAGUGGCGAAGGCGGCCCCCUGGACAAAGACUGACGCU